GACGAACGCUGGCGGCGUGCUUAACACAUGCAAGUCGAACGGUGAAGCGCCUUCCUUUUUGGUGGGUGUGGAUGAGUGGCGAACGGGUGGGUAACACGUGAGUAACCUGCCCCCUUCUUCUGGAUAACCGCAUGAAAGUGUGGCUAAUACGGGAUAUUCUGGGUCUGUCGCAUGAUGGGUCUGGGAAAGAUAUUGUUUCGGUGGGGGAUGGGCUCGCGGCCUAUCAGCUUGUUGGUGGGGUGAUGGCCUACCAAGGCGGUGACGGGUAGCCGGCCUGAGAGGGUGGACGGUCACACUGGGACUGAGACACGGCCCAGACUCCUACGGGAGGCAGCAGUGGGGAAUAGUGCACAAUGGGCGCAAGCCUGAUGCAGCGACGCCGCGUGAGGGAUGGAGGCCUGCGGGUUGUGAACCUCUUUCGCCAGUGAAGCAGGCCUGCCUCGUUUGUGGGUGGGUUGACGGUAGCUGGAUAAGAAGCGCCGGCUAACUACGUG
rnacentral:rRNA from 1 species